rnacentral:lncRNA from 1 species
ACCAAAACAGAGUACACACAAUACUGACUUUGGAAUUCGCACUCAGAUACUGUAGUGGAUUGAUAACUGGUGGUCAACUUAUAUCCCCCAGCUGAACUGAGAAACCCUUCCAGAAUCUACUCAAGGAAAGUUUAAAAUCAGCUUUUCAAGAAUGGCUAUGCACAGAAGAGGAUAGCUUCCCAGGUAAUGACUUUUUAACUACAAAUGUUCAAAAUCCUCUUUACGGACUACAUCUCCCCUUGCAAAAGAAUCC